rnacentral:rRNA from 1 species
AGAGUUUGAUCAUGGCUCAGAACGAACGCUGGCGGCAUGCCUAACACAUGCAAGUCGAACGAGACCUUCGGGUCUAGUGGCGCACGGGUGCGUAACGCGUGGGAAUCUGCCCCUUGGUUCGGAAUAACAGUUAGAAAUGACUGCUAAUACCGGAUGAUGACGAAAGUCCAAAGAUUUAUCGCCGAGGGAUGAGCCCGCGUAGGAUUAGCUAGUUGGUGAGGUAAAGGCUCACCAAGGCGACGAUCCUUAGCUGGUCUGAGAGGAUGAUCAGCCACACUGGGACUGAGACACGGCCCAGACUCCUACGGGAGGCAGCAGUGGGGAAUAUUGGACAAUGGGCGAAAGCCUGAUCCAGCAAUGCCGCGUGAGUGAUGAAGGCCUUAGGGUCGUAAAGCUCUUUUACCAGGGAUGAUAAUGACAGUACCUGGAGAAUAAGCUCCGGCUAACUCCGUG